AACGAACGCUGGCGGCAUGCCUAACACAUGCAAGUCGAACGAGACCUUCGGGUCUAUUGGCGCACGGGUGCGUAACGCGUGGGAACCUGCACUUAGGUUCGGAAUACCUCCACGAAAGGGGUGCUAAUACCGGAUAAUGUCUUCGGACCAAAGAUUUAUCGCCUUUGGAUGGGCCCGCGUUGGAUUAGCUAGUUGGUAGGGUAAAAGCAUACUAAGGCGACGAUCCAUAGCUGGUCUGAGAGGAUGAUCAGCCACACUGGGACGGAGACACGGCCCAGACUCCUACGGGAUGCAGCAGUGGGGAAUAUUGGACAAUGGGCGAAAGCAUGAUCCAGCUAGGCCGCGUGAGUGAUGAAGGCCGUAGGGUUGUAAAGCGCUUGUACCCGGGAUGAUAAUGACAGUACCGGGAGAAUAAGCGCCGGCUAACUCCGUG
rnacentral:rRNA from 1 species